AGCUUGUGUGCUUGUACAAAGGCCGUUCAGCCUCGGGAUUUACACUCGGCUCGACACGGAUAUGUGAAGAAUGAAGAAACCAUGCAGCGAAACGGAGAGCCCAACCUCUGACUGAGUGCCUGUUUUCGCAGUCUGACCACCUGUUGAAGGGCUGUUUGAUGACGAUUUGGACUCCUCUGGGAGAUGAGGACACACCCACAUCUGUUCCAUAUUGCAGCCAUGGAUGGUGUUACAGCUCUGAGGCAGCUUUGGGCCAUCAGACGCACACACUGGAAAACCAGCACCUUCAUGCAGGAGAGACGGCCUCAGUGAUUUAGAAUUAAUCAGCAGCUGUGGAGAGAUGCAUUUGAAUAUCUUCUGGUUCCACUUUUCCUAACCUGGAAGCUGAGGAUGGCUGAUUUCUGACAGGGACACACACCUCAGCACUUAUCAUGGGUGUUACAUCCUCUGUGCCGCGAUUCCAGAGAAAACGAGAGAGCAACGACCACUCAUUAAGACCAGACAGAAAUCUGUCCCUUUCUGGCAGCUGUGAAAACUUCCAAUAAGAAAGUUUGCAUUAUUAGAACAAUGCUGGGUCAUGUGUGAUGUGUCAUCAUAUGAGGAUAUUACAUUUUGACUUAAUUCUGCUCAAUUAAGUGUUUUGAUCGUUGAUCCAGUAUAGCAGCUUUGUAUUGUGCUGCAAGUUAAAACCUAUUGUCCUCAUGAGCACAGCAUCUAACAACUCUCCUUAAAAAAAAACGAAUGACUUUAACUGGACACAAUGGUUUCCAGAGGGAGAUACAUUCAUCACUCAUCCGUGACACUGGAGAAGUCACCUGGAUGAGUGAUAAAACAAUUUCCCAUGGAAAAUCCAGAGGAACUAAACUUUGUUGUUUCUCUGGGCUCAAUUUCAGCUCUAGCAGCAUCUCUCAGAAGAAAACAUUUUGCCAAUAAUCAGAUAAAAAGAUUGUUGAACCAGGUGGUAUUCUCUGGAGUUUAAGACCAAAACUGAACUCAGUGAAUUGACAUUAGACUGGAAUUCAUAAGAUGAAUAGAAAUACUGCUGAAGCUGAAUGAUAUAUAUAUAUGUGUGUGUGUGUGUGUGUGUGUGUGAGUGUGAGUGUGUGUGUGUGUGAGUGAGUGAGUGAGAGAGAGAGAUCUUUGUUUUCUCCAAUUCACCAGGUCUGUAAAGUUCAGUAUGACUGUGGUACAUGAUACAAAAGAAUAAAUACAGAAGA